AUCAGAGCCUGUGGUCCUGAAUGCUGCAGUUCACGCUGCCAACUUUUUGGGGUAUUGGGGAUUGAACCCAAGGCCUUUGCACUGAGCUACAUCCCCAGCCCUUUCCAUCCGCACCCCUGAUGUGCAUCUCCCGCUCCCCAGUGUGGCUCCCGAUCCUGCUCCCUGCCCGCCCAUUCUGCUCUUUUGUUCCCUCAUAGGUGGCUGUGUGCUGAGCUCCCCUCUUGCCAGGGCUGGAUGCCCAGCAGGAGGCCAGGGGUGCGGUGGGCACCCCCAGAACGCUCUUCCAUCAAGCUUGGACCCCCGGGGUGUGGGGUGUCAGGCACAGCUGCUGGAGUGGAGGGGACCCACUGCUGGGGUUUGUUCCAAAUGCCUGCAGGAUGUUGAUCUCCAGUGUCAUAAACUAAGGGCAUUAUGAGGGCGGAAAUGCAAUCCAACUCCAGUGUUAAGGUGGGGACUUUGGAGAGGGAUUAGGUUAGUUAGGAUGAUUAGGAUGGAGCCCAUGAUCAAGUCCUGGUGGCUUUGAGAGAGACUGAGCAAACAGCUCACAGACACACUCAUGCACACAUGUGAUGCCAUGUCCUGCCUCUUUUCUUCCUUUUUUUUUCUGAGACAGGGUCUCAUGGCAAUCCUCCUGCUUCAGCCUCCCAAAUGCUGGGAUACAGGCAUGUGCCUCUAAGCCUGGCCAACCUCUUUUCUUUGUAAGUGUCCUGCCUUAGGUGUCUUGUUAUAGUGAUGGCAGGAGGACUGAUACACUCACACUGUCGGAUGUGUCCUCACCCAGGAUUCCUUCCAGCAGCAAGAGGUUUGCAGACAUCUGAAGGUGAGUCUAGGUCUGGCCCUCUUGACCUUGCUGGCGUCAUUUAACAAAUAUUUAUCGAGGGCCUACUAUGGGCCAGGCCUUGUUCUAGGCCUGACAUCACGUUCAUGAGGUCUGCGGAGUUUUUAUCCUGUUGGAAGGAGACAGAUAAAAAUGUUGAAACCAGGCUGGGGAUUUAGCUCAGUGGUUCCGCCACCUGCCUUGCAAGCACAAGGUCCCGAGUUCAAUCCUAGGUACCAAAAAAAAAAGAACCACAAAGGGCUGUAUUAGGUCAGGUGGUACAAGGGCCAUAAGGUAAUUACGGCGGGUGAGCUGUCAGGGACAGGUGUGUGAGCCAUUUAAAUGGUCACAGAAAGCUUUUCUGAGGCAGACCUUGAAUGGAGACCUAAGGAGAGAUCUGUGGAGCCAUCUGUUUCCAAGCAGAAGAUACAGCAUGUACAAAGGCCCCGAGGUGAGCCCAUUCCUGGCACGGGGCUGGAGGGGAGCUGAGAGGGGAAGAAGACGCUGCCGGGGCCCGGUAGUUGCAGCUGUGACACCCCCAGGCUGCACAGGAGGGAGACACUGGGGAGGUCGCCGCUGCCAAAGUAGCCCCACUCAUCUGAGGAGCGGGUUAGGCAGAGCCAGGGGGUUCCUCCAAGCUGCCACUGCAGAAAAAGUGGGACCUGGCCGCAGGCCCCUCCCCUCCGGGUGGGCUCCGGAGCUUCCAGCACACUGGAGCUGGGCAGCCCUGAGUCAGUCACAGUGGGCAGACGAAGCUCCCGUCCCCGAACACAUGGGGCUCCGCUGUGUCCUUCCGAUCCGAUCCGUGGAUGCCUCCGAGGAGAGCAGCUCGGCUCCUUAAUUCUCUUCCGCUCUCCCUACUGAAUGAGCCCCUCAGAGGAAGGCAGGGGUCCCGCCACCCCUUCUUCCUGCCAGGCUCCCCGAACCAGGUGGUGGGAGAGGCUGCUCCCCUUUGCUGGAGGUCCCUGCCCGACGUCCACACAUAAGACAACCUGUCCAGCGAGGCUUUUGUGAGCCACUAGAGCCACCCUACAGCUCACCUGGGCAGCAUGUAGGACAGUUCUGUCCCCUCGGUGCCCCGUGUUCUGGAUUCCCGUCCCCAGCUUACUGUCCUGACCCUGACAGUCCCAGCUCCUGCCUUCUCCAGCGCUUCCUGCCAGCUCUCUGUGUGGCUCACAAGAUUCCUGUCCCUCUGGUCGCUCCACUGACGCGGGGAAGGCUGGGCCUCGUUUGUCCUCCGUCCUGGGCUCCUGACACCCUGCUACUCCCUAGCUGCAUCCACCGUCAGCACCUACUCCAUCACCCACCCAAUCCCUUCUUGUCCCGGUGACUGUGACGACCCUCUGUGGGGUCUCCUGCUUCUGCAGCUGCUCCAGGGGCAGCAGAGUGAGUCUCACAAUGUGCGUUAAGAUUGUCACUCUCACCUAAAUUCUUCAAUGACUUCCCAGCGCUCUCACCUUAGAACGCGAACUCCCUACUGUGGCUUACCUGACCCAGCCCGUGUCAUCUGGUGCCAACCUUCCUUGAAUCGCUCCGUCCCCUGCUUGCUUUGCAAUAAACUCAUCACCACCUCAGAAUCUUUGCAUUUGCUGGGCCUGCUGCUGAAAUGCUCUCUCUCUAGAGCCUCUCUUGCUUGCCUCUUCUCAUGCCCUGGGUCAUGGCUGGAACGUCCCCUCCACCUGUCUGAAGCAGUCCCCAUGUCCUGGGCAGUCACCUUGCACCUUCUUCUGUCUAUUCUGAUUCCCUCUGAGGAGUUACCCAGUCUGUGACCACUUGACUCAUGAUGUUGUCUGUGUCCUCCAUGGGUGAGGCCUUGGUUCCAGGACAUCGUGUAUCUGGCACCUAAGAUUCACCUACGAAAUACUCAACGAGCGGGUGAGUGAACGAAUGAAUGGAAGCUGAUCCUGACACUGAGUAGAUUCAGCUUGAAGCUCACCUGUCUCCUGUCCCAUUUCUUUCAAAGAUUCCUACAGCCAAGGACUAAUGAAGAAUUUAUUUGUGCUCAUGAAUAUGUAUUAGGUCUUUCACGAUAAGAUGUGCAUAUUUUAAUAAGGAAUGUCUAGAGACACAAUUUUUAAGUUGAGGGACAUCAGCCCAAUAACAAGGAGGUAAAAUGCUGCUGAGUGUAGCGUGGCUGUGUAGGACAUAAGGGCCCUGACCAGCAUCAGGUCAUAGAACUUGUGGCCUCUGGGGUGCAGUGGGGGGGGGGG
ensembl:lncRNA